UAAUAUAUACAUUAUGGAUAUAUUUUCUCAAACUUUCUUCACACUGAGUUGAUGGCAGUGAACUCUUCUGCAAUGAAUUGAUGGUGGUGAGCUUAUCUGUAAUCCUCCACCAGCAUCACUCCAUUGAUUCCAUUCUCUCCCAUCUUCUUGAGCAUGUUACCUUUCAUUUUAUGGCCCUCUUUCAAAUCUCGUCUCUUGGCUCACUCCAUCUUCAACUUUUUAACCAUCUCCACCUCUGUUGAAACUCACAAAUGUCACUCCCUCCUCUGUGUCACUUCUGCAACUUUCACUGAUCCCUGCUGCAACUCCUCUCUUCUAUCCCCUUAUUUCUCCCCCACACACACACACCUUUCACACUCGUCUUUCCUGCACCCAUCACUAACUGCUCGUAUCCACCUCUAUGAACCUCUCCAUGCCACUCACAGUUGUCCACUGCCCCACCACCCCACCAAAGAUGAGCAUUCCCUUCUUGGCAGAGGAUCUGCAUUUCACAACACUAAAACUCACCUGUGACAAUUUUGAGAUCAAACGGUUUUGUUCUGCCAUUUUUUUAAUAGCAUCAAACAAUCUGAUGCCACAUAAAAAAAGCACCCAACACAUUUUGUAAUGUGGUUGGCUUUAAGAAGGGCAUCCAGCUGUAGAAGCCAUGUCAAAACAAUUGGAGCCUGGUGCAGCUCUCUGGCUUAACAGCUCCUGUCAAAUCAUCCAACCAAUGCCAGUAUGGAAAACAAAUGUUAAAUGAUGAUGAUGAUGAAUCUUGAUUACUUCACAGAUUUGGACAGUCCAGCCCUGGUCAGUUCAGUACCCUGGACAUGUUCAAGGUUUGAUACCUUGCACUGGGCUACUCUUAAUGUCCGGAGAUACAAAAUUAUGGAUCUGUGAAAUCAAUUCCAAUAUAUAUUUUCAGUGCAGGUGGCACGUAAAAAACACCUUUUUGAGCGUGGCUGUUGCCAGUACCGUGUGACUGGCCCUCGUGCUGGUGGCACAUAAAAGCACCAACUACAUGCUCGGAGUGGUUGGCGUUAGGAAGAGUAUCCAGCUGUAGAAACUCUGCCAAAUCAGAUUGGAGCCUGGUGCAGCCUUCUGGCUUGCCAGUCCUCAGUCAAAUCAUCCAACCAAUGUUAGCAUGGAAAGCGGACGUUAAACGAUGAUGAUUAUGUUGGUUUGUAGCCAUUUUUCAUUUGUGUUCAGUUUUAAUGUCCUGUCAUAGCUGUGAGGUUAAGAAAUUCACUUCCUAAAUACAUGGUCUUGAGUUCCACCACACUUUGUGGCAACAUUGGACAAAUGUCUUCUACUAUAACUCGAAACCGAUCAAAACCUUGUGAGUGGAUUUGGUAGGUGGAAACUGAAAGAAGCUUAGUGUGUGUGUGAGCAUAUGCCUUACAUUUGUGGCACUUUGUCUUCAUGUCUUCGUUUGAGCGUCCUCCCUUUCUAAUAUUCUGUGAUGUUUCUCUGUGUUCGGCCAUGAAUAUUACCUUGGUUGGAAACAAGGGUUUGUGACAGAGAAGGCAUCCAGUCAUAGAAAGUCUACCUUGGUAAACUGUCUCAUUCAUGCAAGCUUGGAAAAGUGGACAUUGAAAUUGUGCCAAAAUAUACACCAACUACCCACAGGUAGAAGUUACUACCCUGCUGACAACCACUGCUGUGCAUUUUAACUUUUUUUCAUUUCAGUCAUUAAACUGUGGCCAUGCUGGGGCACUACCUUGAAGAAUCAUAGUCGAAUUAAUUAACCCAAGUGUUUUUUUUGUUUUUUGAAGCUUGGUACUUUGUGUUGGUCUCUUUUGCUGAACUGCUAAGUUGUAGAGACAUAAAUCACUAACAUCAGUUUGUCAAGUAGUGGAUGGAUACAAAGACAACACACACACAUACAUACAUACAUGACAGGCUUCACUCAGUUUCCAUCUAUCAAAUUCACUCACAAGGCUCAGCUAAACCUGAGGCUAUGGUAGAAGACACUUGCCCAAAGUGUCACGCUGUGGGACUAAACCUGGAACUAUGGAGUUGUGAAAAUUUUUACAGCUGUUUCAAUGGGAUAGUUGCUGUAUAAUUUAAAAGCUUGUUUCUUAUGUCACUGUUGUUCAGUUUCUUUGCAAAAGAAAGAUGUUUUGCUGUAAAAGAAUUCUCAUUGAUUAAAUAAAAAUUACUCUGUAUUUUUGUUCUUAAUAUUAUAUUUAAUCUUUUAAUAUUUAUAAACAGAACAGUUUCAACAUCAUGGUGUGUCAUCAGUAUAAACUAAUCAGAGGUACAUUAAUCACAUUACAUUUGUCAAAACUGCAAAAAGAAGGAAGUGGAAACUGACAGAGACAGGACGUCACCAACUGUAAACAACAUGAAGUACGAAAACAAAUGAGUCAAAUACGCAGACAACAAGAGAUAAAAAUGGAAAACAGGACAAGUAAACACAGAACGACCCUUCAUCAGUUGUCAGCUGUCCAUCUACUCCUCAUUUCGAGCAUUCAACGACAAUAUGAGAUUUCGAAGACAGUUGCUCCCAUAAAUUCCAAAAUAAAAUUUGGGAUUUCUGGAGGGUCAAAGUUGGAAACAAAAAAACAGGACAGUGGAGACAUUGAAAGAAACCGAAUGAAAACAAACAUGGAGGGUCGUUGGACCAGAAAGAGAACAGAUGAAGACGUCUGUAUAAACACCUCUUAUGCAAGUAUAUAUUGAGCACACAUUCUUUGUUUUGUAGAACAAAAAGCAAAAUACAUGCAAACACACACAUAUGCCAAGAAAGGAGUUGAGUAAAAAUAUUGUGUAAAAUCACUGGACACCAUUGAAAUUUAAGAGUGGAGUUGUGUUUUGAGAAGACAAAGGAAAUGUGUAAACCAAAUUAAGACUAUAGAAAUAACAUUAAGUUGUGUGUGUGAAAGGCAUCACCUAUAAUGCACGUGCAUGCCAUGAACCUCAUCCGUUUACCUGAGGGUCAACAAGACUCUGUGGUUUAAAACAUUUAAACUAAUUAGACAAGUUUAUCGAUAUCGAUGAAAUAUUAAGCCUUAUCAUCUGUUGUCUAAAAUAUUACAUUUAAAACAAUUUCAUUGCUCUUUAAUACGACACCUGUUGAUGAAGAUCAUCAUCGGACUGUACAAAAUCGGAUUUUACAAACAUGACGUUAACAAAGAACUAUUCCAUCAUGGUUUGUAGGCUGCUGCAAGGAAAAUAACAUAAAAUAAAAUAUUGAGCAGUUUUUAA